GGUACCGGGCUGCCUACCAUCUAAGUUGACACGGACUUGUCCGACAGAGAGGGUGAAAUUCCCGUCUAGAUGUGUUAGAAAGUUCUCAUACUGAUUGAUCUGAGAGUCGAGUUGCUUGGGAUUGCAGCUUUAAGGUGGAGGUAAAUUCCUUCAAAGACUAAAUACCGUUGGAUGACCGAUAGCGAACAAGUACCGUGAGGGAAAGUUGAAAAGAACUCCGGAAGGAGGAUCAAAAGAGCGUGAAAUUGUACAGAGGGAAACGCUUGGACGCUCCGUAUACCCAGUUGUUAGUCUCUCAAGUUUUUUACUGGGAUCAAGAUUACAUCUGGAGUAGCCAAUCGCUAUUAGAUUUAAUGCGUGUUGUGAGUUGGAUCUAUCAUGGUUUAAUGAGUUUAUUGUUUGCGCAAGCUUCUUUACACCGCCAUGGGCAGUUAGUUCCCACGUAUAAGUCGGCAGUAAAGUUUUGUUAUAAGUCUUUAGGAGGUCGAAAGUUGUAAGCUGCGGUACGAUUUUGUAAAUUUUUGUAUUUAGCUACCUUCUAAUGAAGACCUGAGUCUCCGAUAAAGCAUCUUAACUAUAAUAUGGCUGAGCAGCGGUCAAGCGACCCGUCUUGAAACACGGACCAAGGAGUCUAACAUGUUAGCAAGUCUUAGGGCCUAGUAACCCCUCUGGCGAAAUGAAAGUGAUUAGAGAUCCGAUUCCGACUCGAUUGGAAGCAGGAUUAGCCAAACUCAUAAACAAUAGUUGUUGAGUUUGCGCAAGAGCAAAUAUGUUGGGACCCGAAAGAUGGUGAACUAUGCCUGAAUAGGGUGAAGUCAGGGGAAACCCUGAUGGAA
rnacentral:rRNA from 1 species